rnacentral:rRNA from 1 species
GACGAACGCUGGCGGCGUGCUUAACACAUGCAAGUCGAACGGAAAGGCCCCUUUUGGGGUACUCGAGUGGCGAACGGGUGAGUAACACGUGAGUAACCUGCCCUUGACUUCGGGAUAACUUCAGGAAACUGGGGCUAAUACCGGAUAGGAAUCCUUGCUGCAUGGUGGGGGUUGGAAAGCUUCGGCGGUUUUGGAUGGACUCACGGCUUAUCAGCUUGUUGGUGGGGUAGUGGCUUACCAAGGCUUUGACGGGUAGCCGGCCUGAGAGGGCGACCGGCCACAUUGGGACUGAGAUACGGCCCAGACUCCUACGGGAGGCAGCAGUGGGGAAUAUUGCACAAUGGGCGGAAGCCUGAUGCAGCAACGCCGCGUGCGGGAUGACGGCCUUCGGGUUGUAAACCGCUUUCAGCAGGGGCGAAGCUUGUGGUGACGGUACCUGCAGAAGAAGCACCGGCUAACUACGUG